AUUGUGGGGUUUUGUCUGACAGGCGGAAGGUGACAGACACUGCUAGGAAAAAAAACCUAGUGAAUAUUGGAACAGUCUGGUGGCCGCGCUCUUUUGCAGGUUGUGCGGUCCAGGAGGGAUAGAUAUGCGCUGUGUGGGUCAGAGACUAGCAUAGGUCAGGUUCCCUAUGUGUUAUACCAUCUCUGGAGGAUCUUGUAUUCACCGCAUUGCACCAUCAGGCCUUUUGGUAAAUAAGAGGGGUCCGUGAUCUUGGAAUCCUCACUUUGUCUGGACGUCGUUGCAUUUGGGGAAAUUUCGUAGUGCGGAAUUUAAUUGCAUUGAUCCCCCUCUUUGUAUUUAUUGGAACUGGAGCUUCUGGAGCAACACUGUAUCUCUUGCGUCUGGCAUUGUUCAAUCCAGAUGUUUGUUGGGACAGAAAUAACCCAGAGCCCUGGAACAAACUGGGUCCCAAUGAUCAAUACAAGUUCUACUCAGUGAAUGUGGAUUACAGCA
rnacentral:sRNA from 1 species